UUAUUUAAUUUUAUAAUUAAAAAAACUAAACCAUCACAUUAAUUGUAUAUUUUUUAAAAAUAUACUUUUCUCUUAUAUUGUUAUACUUUUUUUAAACGACUAUAAAUUACUAAUAUUGUUAAAAGUCUCACAUUAAUAAAUUGAUGAUCAAUGGUUUAAAUUUUUUGUUAUAACAAGAUACAAAUGAUUAUGAAAUCAUAUGAAUAAGAAGUUUCAUUAAAUAGAUAUUCAUAUUAAAAAAUAUUUAUAAUAUUAUUAAAAUUAAAAUAUAUACCAUAUAAAAUACAUAACUAUGUUAAUUUCAAAAUUUUCAUUGCAAAAGUAUUGAGACCUUAAUAUUUUAAUUUUGAAAUUUGUAUUAAAUUUUUAGAAAUGACUAUAAAUUACUAAAAUUAGUAAAAAGCUCACACUAAAAUCUUUGUGAUUAAUGGUUAAUUUUUCGGUACAACAGAUAUACAUAUGCUAAUAAAAUAAUUUGAGUAGAAAGCAUCAAUUAAUAAAUACCCAUUUUAUGUAUUUUAAAUAAUUAUGACGAAUAUAAGGAUUAUAGUAUAAAAUAUAUAUCUUUUUAAAGUUAAAAGUUUGAUUUUGGAUAAAAACAUUUUUAUUUCAAGGAUAAAAACACUUUUAAACUUCAAAUAGAUUUUUUUGGAUGCUCUUAUAGCCAAUCAAGUGAAAAUGGUUUUUCUAUUUGGUUUUUGUUGUUCGGUUUGUUUCAAAUGAUCAGAUCCAUAUAUUAUAGGUUAUAGGCACACUCAGAUACUCUAAUCCAGAGUUAUACAUUCAGUAGAAUUAAUGAGUGGCAGAUCUAGAAUUUAUUUUGACUGGAGGCAUAAUAUUUAAUACAUAUGAAAUAAAAAUGGUUUUAAUUAUAUGACUACAGAAGUUUCUGGUUUGACUAAAAAUUCAUUAAUGCUUCUACACUAGGAGGUCUGAGUUUCAAUCUUCAGAAAAAGCAGAAUUAUGUGAAUUAAUAGAGAAAAUGCUUACAAGAGAUCUGCAGCUGUAAAAUCAUAUGUAAUAUUUUUCAUAGUUUGUAAUAGCACGAUUAUCGGCAUUAAAAUGGUUUUAACUAUAAUGUUUAUACAUUAUUUUAAAAUAUUUAAAAGAACCAUAAAUAACUAUGACCACACAGUUUAUUGAGAAAUAAAUUGCAUUCUUAAAAACAGCAACUCAACAUAAAAUUAAAAAAUAUUAAGUAAAAAUUGUAAAAAAUGGUAAAAAUACCAGGAAUAUGUAAAUAUUUCAUUUAAUAAUUGGGGAGAUAGAAACAGUUUUUUUUUUGUUUCUCGUAAUAAAAUAUAAAUAUGCAAGAUGAAGAAAUAGAAAAGGACUCUACAAAUGAUAAUUAUUUAUUUCUCGGGAAUAAAAAACUCUUAAAUCGUGUGAGAGAUGAAAAUGUAGGGUAUAAUUAUGUAUGCUAAAAAUAAAAAAUAGUUAUGCAAAAAUAAACAAGGACUUAUUUGUGUAAUAGCCAUAUUUGGAAGAAAAAUUAGAUGAGUGACAAUAAUGUUGGACGGAGGCUGAGGAUGUUUUGGUGGUGAGAGACGCACUAAACGGAACGCUGAAGAUGUCUGCUAGCCGCCAGUGGUGGAAGAAUCCGACGAGCGAUUACCGGUGACAUCAUCUUCUUCGCCAUGUUCCUUCUUCCACGCCGGAGGUCAAUGAUAAAGCUUCACUGGCGACGUUUAUGUCAUCUUUGUCUCAAGUCUCACCUCGUCGUCAUUGGUUCAUCUCCGACCAGCAGUACAUGGGCACAAAAUGAAUCUCGAGCAACAAUGGCCAAUUUUGACUUUUUUGCACAUUUACUCUUUCAGAUUUUAUAUAAUUUUGUUUUGGAUACAUAGUGUACACAUGUACACUUUGAUGAUAAUGUACACAUGUACACUCUGAUGGAUACAUCGGUUAAGGUGGACGUAUUUAAAAAAAAAGGCUAUU